UUGCUUUCUGAGAUCGAGGGUAUGCCUGAACCAAGAAGCUUCAUUCGAUUCCUCAAAACUUCUCCUGUGCUCACUGCUUAACAUCGCGAGCAGAACUUCUUCGUCUUCUAGCGGCGUCCUUCAUCCCCGUUAAAUGUGAAGCUCGGCUUGAAGAUGGAGCACUUGUAUCAAAAUCUGAUGGAGUGGAGUUUAGGGUGAAAGAGGGCUAUGAAAACCAUGAAGAAGGGAGAGAAACAACACUCGUCGUCUUCGGGUGCUUCUCUAGCCCACAGGUCUCUGUUAAUAAUGAGGGUCGAGAUGUGUGGAAAGUAUAUCUCGACAUGGAAGAAUAUGCAGCUGCUUGGGACUGGAGGAUUGGGCCCGAUUGGAGGAGCCAUA